rnacentral:rRNA from 1 species
UACGGGAGGCAGCAGUGGGGAAUAUUGGACAAUGGGGGAAACCCUGAUCCAGCGACGCCGCGUGAACGAUGAAGUAUUUCGGUAUGUAAAGUUCUAUCAGCAGGGAAGAUAAUGACGGUACCUGACUAAGAAGCACCGGCUAAAUACGUGCCAGCAGCCGCGGUAAU